rnacentral:misc_RNA from 1 species
UACGUGUGGACCAAGCGUUGUUCGGAAUUACUGGGCUUAAAGGGAGCGUAGGUGGCCAAGUAAGUCAGGGGUGAAAGCCGUCGGCCCAACCGACGAAUUGCCUUUGAUACUGCUCGGCUUGAGUGUGCGAGGGGGAAGCGGAACGCGUGGUGUAGCGGUGAAAUGCGUAGAUAUCACGCGGAAGGCCGGAGCCGAAGGGGGCUUCCUGGCGCACAACUGACACUGAGGCUCGAAAGCGUGGGGAGCAAACAGG